rnacentral:rRNA from 1 species
GAUGAACGCUGGCGGCGUGCCUAAUACAUGCAAGUCGAGCGUACAGAUGAGGAGCUUGCUCCUCUGACGUUAGCGGCGGACGGGUGAGUAACACGUGGAUAACCUACCUAUAAGACUGGGAUAACUUCGGGAAACCGGAGCUAAUACCGGAUAAUAUAUUGAACCGCAUGGUUCAAUAGUGAAAGACGGUUUUGCUGUCACUUAUAGAUGGAUCCGCGCCGCAUUAGCUAGUUGGUAAGGUAACGGCUUACCAAGGCAACGAUGCGUAGCCGACCUGAGAGGGUGAUCGGCCACACUGGAACUGAGACACGGUCCAGACUCCUACGGGAGGCAGCAGUAGGGAAUCUUCCGCAAUGGGCGAAAGCCUGACGGAGCAACGCCGCGUGAGUGAUGAAGGUCUUCGGAUCGUAAAACUCUGUUAUUAGGGAAGAACAAAUGUGUAAGUAACUAUGCACGUCUUGACGGUACCUAAGCAGAAAACCACGGCUAACUACGU